GGAGGGCGCUCUGGGGCUGGAGCCGACACUGGAGGGCGCUCUGGGGCUGGAGCCGACACUGGAGGGCGCUCUGGGGCUGGAGCCGACACUGCAGCAGAGGUCUUCCUCUUUAACCUCCGCUUUUGAGUGCGGGUCAGCCCUUGCGGGCUGGACAUGUGUUGGGAGGGCAACAGAGAGCUGGGAUUGGGAUGUUCGCCAUAAGCAGCCUGAUGAACCAAAUGCUCCACAAACUGAUGGUAAGAUAGCCCUCCCAAUUUCAGCAUCUGCUGGAUAUUGAGGGGCUUGUCGAGGGCAUAGUUAAGGAGGUUCACCAGGGCUUGAUCAUUAAACCCCAGCCCCUCUGCUGCCACACAAAAUUUAGCCGCAAAACUUUCCACCUUCAUGCCACGUUGCCGCAGCGACUGCAGACUGAUGAGCUGCAGUAUGCGGCUGGAGAAGGGGCUGUCUUCACUCUGCUGGGUCCUCAUCUUUGGCGAGUUCGUACUGUCACGUUCCGGUAAAGGGAAAAAGGAGCAAGGACCCAAGCGCAGAGUGAAGUAGGAUUUAUUAAUUAAAAAA